GGCAACAUGGCUCAGUGGAAGAGCCUCUAUUUGGGGCACAGAAUAUUCCAGGUUCAAUCCCCAGCAUCUCCA
rnacentral:tRNA from 1 species